GUAGGGAAUAUUGGGCAAUGGAUGCAAGUCUGACCCAGCCAUCCCGCGUGCCGGAAGAAGGCCCUCAGGGUUGUAAACGGCUUUUGAAGGUGAAGAAUCGACAGGAUGCGUCCUGUUUUGACGGUAGCCGUUGAAUAAGCACCGGCUAACUCCGUGCCAGCAGCCGCGGUAAUACGGAGGGUGCGAGCGUUGUCCGGAUUUAUUGGGUUUAAAGGGUGCGUAGGCUGGAAGGUCAGUCAGCGGUGAAAAGCUGUCGCUUAACGAUAGUCUUGCCGCAGAUACUUCCUUUCUUGGAUGAGGAGGAGGCCACUGGAACGGAUGGUGUAGCGGUGAAAUGCAUAGAUAUCAUCCAGAACACCGAUUGCGAAGGCAGGUGGCUGUACCUUAAUCGACGCUGAUGCACGAAAGCAUGGGGAGCAAACAGGAUUAGAUACCCUAGUAGUCC
rnacentral:rRNA from 1 species